rnacentral:lncRNA from 1 species
UUUAAAUUCAUAAUUUUAUGAGAUAAAAAAGUUAUCUCAUAUCUCAGCUAAUUGUAUGAGACACAAAAUAAAAUUCUCCAUUUAGAGCGAAGCCACGUGUUAUGGGUUUGAAGAAAACUAUCCGAUUGGAAAAUAUGCCGCCUGUUUCAAUUUAUACGACAUAAUUAGAUUAGGCAUAAAGUAAACAUAAAAUUUUAAAAAAAAU